rnacentral:rRNA from 1 species
UACGUAGGGGGCGAGCGUUGUCCGGAAUUACUGGGCGUAAAGGGUGCGUAGGCGGCGCCUUAAGUCAGAUGUGAAAUAUCCAUGCUUAACGUGGAGGGUGCAUUUGAAACUGGGGUGCUUGAGUGCAGGAGAGGAAAGUGGAAUUCCUAGUGUAGCGGUGAAAUGCGUAGAUAUUAGGAGGAACACCAGUGGCGAAGGCGACUUUCUGGACUGUAACUGACGCUGAGGCACGAAAGCGUGGGGAGCAAACAGGAUUAGAUACC